GUGACUCUUUAAACGGCCGCGGUAUCCUAACCGUGCAAAGGUAGCAUAAUCACUUGUCCCCUAAAUAGGGACUAGAAUGAACGGCUAAAUGAGGACAAAACUGUCUCUUACGGACCAACCAAUGAAAUUGAUCUUCCAGUACAAAAGCUGGAAUAAACCCAUAAGACGAGAAGACCCUGUGGAGCUUUAAAACCAAAACCACCAAACAUGUUUCUUGGUUUUUUAGUUGGGGCGACUUUGGAGAAAAAAUAAUCCUCCAAACUAUUAAUUUAUUUAUUAAGAAUAACACAUCAAAAAUAAUUAAAUAGACCCAGCAACAUUAUGUUGUCUGACCAAUGAACCAAGUUACCCCAGGGAUAACAGCGCCAUCCUCUUCUAGAGUCCCUAUCGACAAGAGGGUUUACGACCUCGAUGUUGGAUCAGGACACCCCUAUAGUGCAGCCGCUUUAAAAGGUUCGUUUGUUCAACGAUUAAAGUCCUACGUGAUCU
rnacentral:rRNA from 1 species